rnacentral:tRNA from 1 species
GUUCUGGCUUAGUGGUAGAGCGCUCACCUAAUGUGGGUAAGGCACUGGGUUCAAUCCUCAGCACAAAAUA